rnacentral:rRNA from 1 species
CGGUCCCUAUCCGUGGUGGGCGCAGGAGACUUGAGAGGAGUUACCCUCAGUACGAGAGGACCGGGGUGAACGGACCUCUGGUGUCCCGGUUGUCAUGCCAAUGGCAGUGCCGGGUAGCUAUGUUCGGAUGGGAUAAGUGCUGAAAGCAUCUAAGUACGAAGCCCACCUCAAGACAAGGUCUCCCACUGGGUUAACCAGGUAAGACCCCAGCGAGACUAGCUGGUUGAUAGGCCGCAAGUGUAAGACGGGCAACCGUUUCAGCUAAGCGGUACUAAUAGGUCGAGGGCUUGACCAU